rnacentral:rRNA from 1 species
AGAGUUUGAUCAUGGCUCAGAACGAACGCUGGCGGCAUGCCUAACACAUGCAAGUCGGACGGGCGGCCUUCGGGCCGCCAGUGGCGGACGGGUGAGUAACGCGUGGGUACCUGCCUCCUGGUGCGGGACAACGUCUGGAAACGGACGCUAAUACCGCAUGCCCCCUGCGGGGGAAAGGCUUGCCGCCAGGAGAGGGGCCCGCGUCGGAUUAGCUAGUUGGCGGGGUGACGGCCCACCAAGGCGACGAUCCGUAGCUGGUCUGAGAGGAUGGCCAGCCACACUGGGACUGAGACACGGCCCAGACUCCUACGGGAGGCAGCAGUGGGGAAUAUUGGACAAUGGGCGCAAGCCUGAUCCAGCAAUGCCGCGUGGGUGAUGAAGGCCUUCGGGUUGUAAAGCCCUUUCGCACGCGACGAUGAUGACGGUAGCGUGAGAAGAAGCCCCGGCUAACUUCGUGCCAGCAGCCGCGGUAAUACGAAGGGGGCUAGCGUUGUUCGGAAUCACUGGGCGUAAAGGGCGCGUAGGCGGCCCGUCAAGUCAGGCGUGAAAGCCCCGGGCUCAACCCGGGAUGUGCGCUUGGGACUGGCGGGCUCGAGGCCGGGAGAGGGUGGCGGAAUUCCCAGUGUAGAGGUGAAAUUCGUAGAUAUUGGGAAGAACACCGGUGGCGAAGGCGGCCACCUGGACCGGAUCUGACGCUGAG